rnacentral:rRNA from 1 species
UACGGAGGGUGCGAGCGUUGUCCGGAAUCACUGGGCGUAAAGGGCGCGUAGGUGGCGCGGUCAGUCAACGGUGAAAGUUCGGGGCUCAACCCUGAAUCGGCCGUCGAUACUCCCGGGCUUGAGCACUGUAGAGGCUAAUGGAAUUCCGGGUGUAGCGGUGGAAUGCGUAGAGAUCCGGAAGAACACCGGUGGCGAAGGCGGCCAUCUGGGACAACACUGACGCUGAAGCAUGAAAGCGUGGGGAGCAAACAGG